rnacentral:rRNA from 1 species
AAUAUUGCACAAUGGGCGAAAGCCUGAUGCAGCGACGCCGCGUGAGGGAUGACGGUCUUCGGGUUGUAAACCUCUUUCAGUUGGGAAGAAGCCUUUCGGGGUGACGGUACCUGCAGAAGAAUCGCCGGAUAACUACGUGCCAGCAGCCGCGGUAAUACGUAGGGCGCAAGCGUUGUCCGGAAUUAUUGUGCGUAAAGAUCUCGUAGGCGGGUUGGCGCGUCUGCUGUGAAAACGCAAGGCUUAACCUUGCGCCUGCAGUGGGUACGGGCAGGCUAGAGUGGGGUAGGGGAGACUGGAAUUACUGGUGUAGCGGUGGAAUGCGCAGAUAUCAGGAGGAACACCGGUGGCGAAGGCGGGUCUCUGGGCCGUUACUGACGCUGAGGAGCGAAAGCAUGGGGAGCGAACAG